UUGAACCUUCGGGGGAUUUGUUGGGCGGCGAGCGGCGGACGGGUGAGUAAUGCCUAGGAAAUUGCCCUGAUGUGGGGGAUAACUAUUGGAAACGAUAGCUAAUACCGCAUGAUGCCUACGGGCCAAAGAGGGGGACCUUCGGGCCUCUCGCGUCAGGAUAUGCCUAGGUGGGAUUAGCUAGUUGGUGAGGUAAGGGCUCACCAAGGCGACGAUCCCUAGCUGGUCUGAGAGGAUGAUCAGCCACACUGGAACUGAGACACGGUCCAGACUCCUACGGGAGGCAGCAGUGGGGAAUAUUGCACAAUGGGCGCAAGCCUGAUGCAGCCAUGCCGCGUGUAUGAAGAAGGCCUUCGGGUUGUAAAGUACUUUCAGUCGUGAGGAAGGUUCAUGCGUUAAUAGCGUAUGGAUUUGACGUUAGCGACAGAAGAAGCACCGGCUAACUCCGUGCCAGCAGCCGCGGUAAUACGGAGGGUGCGAGCGUUAAUCGGAAUUACUGGGCGUAAAGCGCAUGCAGGUGGUUAGUUAAGUCAGAUGUGAAAGCCCGGGGCUCAACCUCGGAAUUGCAUUUGAAACUGGCUGACUAGAGUACUGUAGAGGGGGGUAGAAUUUCAGGUGUAGCGGUGAAAUGCGUAGAGAUCUGAAGGAAUACCGGUGGCGAA
rnacentral:rRNA from 1 species